AACGAACGCUGGCGGCAUGCCUAACACAUGCAAGUCGAACGAGACCUUCGGGUCUAGUGGCGCACGGGUGCGUAACGCGUGGGAACCUGCCCUUAGGUUCGGAAUAACUCCCCGACAGGGGUGCUAAUACCGGAUAAUGUCUUCGGACCAAAGAUUUAUCGCCUUUGGAUGGGCCCGCGUUGGAUUAGCUAGUUGGUAGGGUAAAAGCCUACCAAGGCGACGAUCCAUAGCUGGUCUGAGAGGAUGAUCAGCCACACUGGGACUGAGACACGGCCCAGACUCCUACGGGAGGCAGCAGUGGGGAAUAUUGGACAAUGGGCGAAAGCCUGAUCCAGCAAUGCCGCGUGAGUGAUGAAGGCCUUAGGGUUGUAAAGCUCUUUUAUCCGGGAUGAUAAUGACAGUACCGGGAGAAUAAGCUCCGGCUAACUCCGUG
rnacentral:rRNA from 1 species